rnacentral:tRNA from 1 species
UCCCUAGUGGCUCAGAUGGUAAAGCAUCUGUCUACAAUGCAGGAGACCCGGGUUUGAUCCCUGGGUUGGGAA